UACGUAGGGGGCAAGCGUUGUCCGGAAUCAUUGGGCGUAAAGAGCGCGUAGGCGGCCCUGUAAGUCCGCUGUGAAAGUCAAGGGCUCAACCCUUGGAUGCCGGUGGAUACUGCAGGGCUAGAGUCCGGAAGAGGCGAGUGGAAUUCCUGGUGUAGCGGUGAAAUGCGCAGAUAUCAGGAGGAACACCGAUGGCGAAGGCAGCUCGCUGGGACGGUACUGACGCUGAAGCGCGAAAGCGUGGGGAGCAAACAGG
rnacentral:rRNA from 1 species